GGGUCGAUGCCCGAGUGGUUAAUGGGGACGGA
rnacentral:tRNA from 1 species